rnacentral:rRNA from 1 species
GGUAGGUGGUCUGAGAGGACGAUCACCCAGACUGGGACUGAGACACGGCCCAGACUCCUACGGGAGGCAGCAGUCGGGAAUUUUGCGCAAUGGACGAAAGUCUGACGCAGCAACGCCGCGUGAGGGAUGAAGGCCUUCGGGUUGUAAACCGUCUUUUUCUCAGGGACGAUAAUGACGGUACCUGAGGAAUAAGUCACGGCUAACUACGUGCCAGCAGCCGC